rnacentral:tRNA from 1 species
GUCUCUAGCUGCAUGGUUGCUCCACCUGCUUUGCAAGCAGGAGGUCAGGAGUUCGAUUCUCCUAUGCUCCA